GAUGAACGCUAGCGGCAGGCUUAACACAUGCAAGUCGAGGGGUAUAGUUCUUCGGAACUAGAGACCGGCGCACGGGUGCGUAACGCGUAUGCAAUCUACCUUUUGCAGAGGGAUAGCCCAGAGAAAUUUGGAUUAAUACCUCAUAGUAUGUGAGAAUGGCAUCAUUUUCACAUUAAAGUCACAACGGCAAAAGAUGAGCAUGCGUCCCAUUAGCUUGUUGGUAAGGUAACGGCUUACCAAGGCAACGAUGGGUAGGGGUCCUGAGAGGGAGAUCCCCCACACUGGUACUGAGACACGGACCAGACUCCUACGGGAGGCAACAGUGAGGAAUAUUGGACAAUGGGCGCAAGCCUGAGCCAGCCAUGCCGCGUGCAGGAUGACGGUCCUAUGGAUUGUAAACUGCUUUUGUACAGGAAGAAACACUGGUUCGUGAACCAGCUUGACGGUACUGUAAGAAUAAGGAUCGGCUAACUCCGUGCCAGCCGCCGCGGUAAGAC
rnacentral:rRNA from 1 species